rnacentral:rRNA from 1 species
AGAACGAACGCUGGCGGCAGGCUUAACACAUGCAAGUCGAGCGCCCAGCAAUGGGAGCGGCGGACGGGUGAGUAACACGUGGGAACAUGCCUUUCGGUACGGAACAACUGCGGGAAACUGCAGCUAAUGCCGUAUGCGCCCUUACGGGGAAAGAUUUAUCGCCGAAAGAUUGGCCCGCGUCUGAUUAGCUAGUUGGUGAGGUAACGGCUCACCAAGGCUUCGAUCAGUAGCUGGUUUGAGAGAACGACCAGCCACACUGGGACUGAGACACGGCCCAGACUCCUACGGGAGGCAGCAGUGGGGAAUCUUGGACAAUGGGGGAAACCCUGAUCCAGCCAUGCCGCGUGAGUGAUGAAGGCCUUCGGGUUGUAAACUCUUUUACCAGGGAAGAUAAUGACUGUACCUGGAGAAUAAGCCCCGGCUAACUUCGUGCCAGCAGCCGC